rnacentral:rRNA from 1 species
UACGGAGGAUGCGAGCGUUAUCCGGAUUUAUUGGGUUUAAAGGGUGCGCAGGCGGCGUGUCAAGCAAGCGGUAAAAUAGCGGGGCUCAACCCCGUCGAGCCGUCGGAACCGGGGGCCUUGAGUACCGGAGAAGUACGCGGAAUGCGUGGUGUAGCGGUGAAAUGCAUAGAUAUCACGCAGAACCCCGAUUGCGAAGGCAGCCUGCUAGGGUGCGACAGACGCUGAGGCACGAAAGCGUGGGUAUCGAACAGG